CAUUAGAUGACUGAAAGUAAGUAAUGGUCUCUUAAACCAAAAAAUAGCAAGUUAACGAAAUGCUUCUAAUGA
rnacentral:tRNA from 1 species